UGGGGAAUUUUGGACAAUGGGGGAAACCCUGAUCCAGCCAUCCCGCGUGUGCGAUGAAGGCCUUCGGGUUGUAAAGCACUUUUGGCAGGAAAGAAACGUCGCGGGUUAAUACCCCGCGAAACUGACGGUACCUGCAGAAUAAGCACCGGCUAACUACGUGCCAGCAGCCGCGGUAAUACGUAGGGUGCAAGCGUUAAUCGGAAUUACUGGGCGUAAAGCGUGCGCAGGCGGUUCGGAAAGAAAGAUGUGAAAUCCCAGAGCUUAACUUUGGAACUGCAUUUUUAACUACCGGGCUAGAGUGUGUCAGAGGGAGGUGGAAUUCCGCGUGUAGCAGUGAAAUGCGUAGAUAUGCGGAGGAACACCGAUGGCGAAGGCAGCCUCCUGGGAUAACACUGACGCUCAUGCACGAAAGCGUGGGGAGCAAACAGGAUUAGAUACCCUGGUAGUCCACGCCCUAAACGAUGUCAACUAGCUGUUGGGGCCUUCGGGCCUUGGUAGCGCAGCUAACGCGUGAAGUUGACCGCCUGGGGGAGUACGGUCGCAAGAUUAAAAACUC
rnacentral:rRNA from 1 species